UCCCUGGUGGCUCAGACGGUAAAGCGUCUGCCUACAAUGCAGGAGACCCAGGUUUGAUCCCUGGGUCGAGAA
rfam:TPA: Bos taurus chromosome 21, whole genome shotgun sequence.